rnacentral:rRNA from 1 species
AUUGAACGCUGGCGGAAUGCUUUACACAUGCAAGUCGAACGGUAGAGGGGGCAACCCCUCGAGAGUGGCGAACGGGUGAGUAAUAUAUCGGAACGUGCCCAGUCGUGGGGGAUAACGUAGCGAAAGUUACGCUAAUACCGCAUACGAUCUAAGGAUGAAAGCGGGGGAUCGCAAGACCUCGCGCGAUUGGAGCGGCGGAUAUCAGCAUUAGGUAGUUGGUGGGGUAAAGGCUCACCAAGCCAACGAUCUGUAGCUGGUCUGAGAGGACGACCGGCCACACUGGAACUGAGACACGGUCCAGAUUGCUAAGGGAGGCAGCAGUGGGGAAUUUUGGACAAUGGACGCAAUUCUUAUCCAGCCAUUCCGCGUGCAGGAUGAAGGCCCUCGGGUUGUAAACUGCUUUUGUACGGAACGAAAAGGUCUCUCUUAAUACGGGGGACUCAUGACGGUACCGUAAGAAUAAGCACCGGCUAACUACGUGCCAGCAGCCGCCGUAACAC